AAAGAAGCCUAGCCCUUCCCUAUUCACGUGAACAGGAACCAGGCUUUCUCCCUCACCUUGAUGUCCCCGCCGUCAACCACCAGCCACCGACAACCACCACCGCCACCACAGUACCACCACCAGCCGCAGCAACCACCUCACUACAGCCCUUGUCGGGCAGCGCCGCCCAGUCGCGGCCAACCCCCUUCUUUCUGCUCCAACACACGCAACCAAUCUUCCCUCCUCUUCUUGUUUCUCGCACACGCUAUCCUCCGUGAUGCACCUCUUUCGCGCCACCAGCCACGUUGAACCACCGGCGCACCGCCUCUUUCCCUGCUGCCGCCAUCCCUGACUGCAGGCCACCAACCCUUCUCUAUUUCGUUGGAAGAGAAUUCUCUUUAGGCGACUUUUGAAUUAUUAAAGUGGUCUCGCAUUUUGUUUACACAAGUCUCUAAGGAUCAAUAAGCAUUGCCCAUCUACAGGUUUGAAGAUGAUGCAUCAUUGGGAUCGGGAUUAGAGAGCUUGUAUUUAGUUUUGUUUUGCUAAGUGACUUGGUUUGUUAAUUUGGAUUUUAAACUUGUCGUACUAUUUAUAUUUCCCUCUUUUCGUUGGUUGGUUUUUGGGAUUAAACUUGUAAUUGAUUAUUUAUACACCUAAAGUUAGUUUUAUGUUUUCCGCUGCAAAAUUCUGAAUAAGCCGUUACGUUUUCACACGGGCGAUAAUGCCUUGAUAAUUCUCUACGUUUUAUAUUAAAAGGUUAUUUUAGAAAAGAGAGAAUUGUCGGGGUGUUACAACUGGGUUGCGUGCGUGCGGGCGUGCGGACGAGAGAGAGGAGAGGGAGAUGGAGUGAUGGGCAAGCAAAGCAAAAGAGAGGGUUUAUGAGAUUUUAGGGGUUCAAUUAAUGAUG